AAGGGGUGGCGGACGAGCCGCAGAGAUGUCUGGCCAGAGCCUGACGGACCGAAUCACCGCGGCCCAGCACAGUGUCACUGGCUCCGCGGUAUCCAAGACAGUAUGCAAGGCCACGACCCACGAGAUCAUGGGCCCCAAGAAAAAGCACCUGGACUACUUAAUUCAGUGUACAAAUGAGAUGAAUGUGAACAUCCCACAGUUGGCAGACAGUUUAUUUGAAAGAACUACUAACAGUAGUUGGGUGGUGGUCUUCAAAUCACUCAUUACAACUCAUCAUUUGAUGGUGUAUGGAAAUGAGCGUUUCAUUCAGUAUUUGGCUUCAAGAAACACAUUGUUUAACUUAAGCAAUUUUUUGGAUAAAAGUGGAUUGCAAGGGUAUGAUAUGUCUACAUUUAUUAGACGGUAUAGUAGAUAUCUAAAUGAGAAGGCAGUUUCAUACAGACAAGUUGCAUUUGAUUUCACAAAAGUGAAGAGAGGGGCUGAUGGAGUUAUGAGAACAAUGAACACAGAAAAACUCUUAAAGACUGUACCAAUUAUUCAAAAUCAAAUGGAUGCACUUCUUGAUUUUAAUGUUAAUAGUAAUGAACUUACAAAUGGGGUAAUAAAUGCUGCCUUCAUGCUCCUGUUCAAAGAUGCCAUUAGACUAUUUGCAGCAUACAAUGAAGGAAUCAUUAAUUUAUUGGAAAAAUAUUUUGAUAUGAAAAAGAACCAGUGCAAAGAAGGUCUUGACAUCUAUAAGAAGUUCCUGACUAGAAUGACAAGAAUCUCAGAGUUUCUCAAAGUUGCAGAGCAAGUUGGCAUUGACAGAGGUGAUAUCCCAGAUCUUUCACAGGCCCCCAGCAGUCUUCUUGAUGCUUUAGAACAACAUUUAGCAUCUUUGGAAGGGAAGAAAAUCAAAGAUUCCACAGCUGCAAGCAGGGCUACAACACUUUCCAAUGCAGUCUCUUCUUUGGCAAGCACUGGCCUAUCUCUGACCAAAGUGGAUGAAAGGGAAAAGCAGGCAGCAUUAGAGGAAGAACAGGCUCGUUUAAAAGCAUUAAAGGAACAGCGUCUAAAAGAACUUGCAAAGAAACCACAUACCUCUUUAACAACUGCAGCCUCUCCUGUGUCCACUUCAGCAGGGGGAAUAAUGACUGCACCAGCCAUCGACAUAUUUUCUACCCCUAGUUCUUCUAACAGCACAUCUAAGCUGCCAAAUGACCUGCUUGAUUUGCAGCAGCCAACCUUUCAUUCAUCUGUCCAUGCUAUGUCAACUGCUCCUCAGGUAGCAAGUACAUGGGGAGAUCCUUUCUCUGCUACUCUAGAUGCUGUUGAUGAUGCCAUUCCAAGCUUAAAUCCUUUCCUCACAAAAAGUAGUGGUGAUGUUCACCUUCCCAUUUCUUCAGAUGUAUCCACUUUUACUACUAGGACACCUACUCAUGAAAUGUUUGUUGGAUUCAGUCCUUCUCCAGUUGCACAGCCACAUCCUUCAGCUGGCCUUAAUGUUGACUUUGAAUCUGUGUUUGGAAAUAAAUCUACGAAUGUUACUGUAGAUUCUGGCGGCUUUGAUGAACUAGGUGGACUUCUCAAACCAACAGUGGCCUCUCAGAACCAGAGUCUUCCUAUUGCCAAACUUCCACCUAACAAAUUAGUGUCUGAUGACUUGGACUCAUCAUUAGCCAACCUUGUGGGCAAUCUGGGCAUUGGAAAUGGAACCACUAAGAAUGAUGUAAGUUGGAGUCAACCAGGUGAAAAGAAGUUAACUGGAGGAUCUAACUGGCAGCCAAAGGUUGCACCAACAACUGCCUGGAAUGCUGCAACAAUGAAUGGCAUGCAUUUUCCACAAUACGCACCCCCUGUAAUGGCCUAUCCUGCUACUACACCAACAGGCAUGAUAGGAUAUGGAAUUCCUCCUCAGAUGGGAAAUGUGCCUGUAAUGACACAACCAACCUUAAUAUACAGCCAGCCUGUCAUGAGACCACCAAACCCAUUUGGCCCUGUAUCAGGAGCUCAGAGGCACACAUUUGUUUUCUGGAAAACACAUGCCAUUGGAUAUCUUUUGACUUGACAUGGAAUAGCAUUUUAAAUGAUCCCAUUUCUACAAAGGCUGCCUUUAAUUUAUUAAAGCUGUCGGCAGCAUCCAGCCCCUCCAGGCACAGUCCUCACAGAGCUGCAGGAAAGGACCCCUUUGCAGAGCUCUCUCUGGAGGACUUCUUAUAAGUCACUUAGAUACAGUUUAUGUAACUAGAUGGAAGAGAAUGGAAUUAUUCCAAGAACAUAAGUUCGCAGGUGGCGGCUCCUUACUUCCAGCAAAAUUCAAACUGCUGUCUCUGAAACUCUUCCUCCAUUAGAGCGCUCCAGUAACCCAUGAAGGCCCACGGCAGGGAUGGGACUAGUUUAUAGGAGAGCGUUGUCAAUACCGUUUAUAAAGCCAAGAAUUGCCAUGAUUUAAGACUAAGAUCUGUCUUUUUGGUGACUAACACUUCUGUUCUUUCAAGUCCUAUUAAUACCCGUAAUCAGUAACCAACCAAGAAAAGCCUGUACUUGGAAAGUGUGGAGUUUGUGUUUGGAAAAGCUGCCUGGAGAGGAGAGUUGUGUCCUUUACCAUAAUUAAACAGGACUCAUUGGGGAAUCAAAAUCAUAAUUUUAAUUAUGCAUUAUAUUUCUUUUCUCCAGUCCUCACAAAUACAGAAACCAUAAUUGAAGUUAACUUUUCUUUUUUAAAAAAUUUAUAUUCAGUUUGCAGUAGACAUUCCUUAAGUAUUUGUAUUUAUUUAUGAUUAUCAAUUUUACAUAACAUUAAUAUUAUAUCAAACCUCCUUAAGAAAAUGAGUAUGGAUGUUCACAGUAUGUUUGAUUUUAUCCACAAGAAUGAAUCUGAUUCAGAAUGCUUUUCAGCUGACAUACAGAGCACUAAAUAUUUUAAGGCAAAACCAUAGGUCUGAAUCUUUUAAGAAUUCUCAGUCUCUAUGGGAUUUAGGGAAGCAUUAUAAAUGCAUUAAUCCUUAUAGUCAAUUCUGUGCCUAGGAUUUUGCAAGGGAACAGUUCACUGACUAGGAAAAGCACUACAUUUAAACUUCAGCAUUAGUGCAUUGGGAAGGAUCUUUACUGCUUUGUGCUUGGCAUGUCAUUAUUUUCCAUUUGACAUUAGGGCCUUUCCAAAAUGAAUGUGAAGAAUUGCUUUCACUUCAAGACUUUCCUUCUUUUCAGUAAAACUUUAGGAGAUGUUAUAGGGAAAGGGAGGGGAACUAAAAUCCUUGAACUUUUUAUUUGGCGUGUGCCAUGUUAUGAUCAUGUACCUUUUAACUAAGGGGAGAUAGUAUCUUUAAAUUCAAUGUCUAGCCAAGAGUUUAGUUAAUGAAGAAUUAAACUGCACUGUUGAUCGGUGCUUUCUGUAAAUACAUCUUAACGCUUGGGUUGAGAGGGGCCUUAAGAAGGACAGUUCAUUGUAGGAAAGCAAUUCUGUACAUGAGUUAAGCAUACUUGUUGCAUUGUCUCUGCAGAUUCUAUUUUUGUUUACAAUAUUAAAAUGUAUGUUAGCAAAUGGGUGGAUUUUCAAAUAAAAUGCAGCUUCCACAAAA